rnacentral:rRNA from 1 species
UACGUAGGUGGCAAGCGUUGUCCGGAUUUAUUGGGUUUAAAGGGUGCGCAGGCGGUUUUUUAAGUCAGUGGUGAAAUACUUCAGCUUAACUGGAGAGGUGCCAUUGAUACUGGGAAACUUGAGUACUGAUGAGGUAGGCGGAAUGGACGGUGUAGCGGUGAAAUGCUUAGAUAUCGUCCAGAACACCGAUAGCGAAGGCAGCUUACUAAGGAGUAACUGACGCUGAGGCACGAAAGUGUGGGGAUCAAACAGG